rnacentral:rRNA from 1 species
UUGACCUCGGAUCAGGUAGGGUUACCCGCUGAACUUAAGCAUAUCAAUAAGCGGAGGAAAAGAAACCAACAGGGAUUGCCCCAGUAACGGCGAGUGAAGCGGCAACAGCUCAAAUUUGAAAUCUGGUCCCCUUUGGGGGCCCGAGUUGUAAUUUGAAGAGGAUGCUUUUGGCGAGGCGCCGUCCGAGUUCCCUGGAACGGGACGCCGCAGAGGGUGAGAGCCCCGUACGGUCGGACGCCGAGCCUCUGUAAAGCUCCUUCGACGAGUCGAGUAGUUUGGGAAUGCUGCUCAAAAUGGGAGGUAAACCCCUUCUAAAGCUAAAUACCGGCCAGAGACCGAUAGCGCACAAGUAGAGUGAUCGAAAGAUGAAAAGCACUUUGAAAAGAGAGUUAAAAAGCACGUGAAAUUGUUGAAAGGGAAGCGCUUGCGACCAGACUUGCGCCCGUCGGAUCAACCGUCGCUUGCGGCGGCGCACUCCGGCGGGCUCAGGCCAGCAUCAGUUCGCUCGGGGGGAGAAAGGCGUCGGGAAUGUAGCUCUUCGGAGUGUUAUAGCCCGUCGUAUAAUACCCUCGGGUGGACUGAGGACCGCGCGUAUGCAAGGAUGCUG